AAUGGGGGAAACCCUGACGCAGCAACGCCGCGUGAGUGAUGAAGGCCUUCGGGUCGUAAAGCUCUGUCUUUUGGGACGAUAAUGACGGUACCAAAGGAGGAAGCCACGGCUAACUACGUGCCAGCAGCCGCGGUAAUACGUAGGUGGCGAGCGUUGUCCGGAAUUACUGGGCGUAAAGGGUGCGUAGGCGGUUUAUUAAGUCAGAUGUGAAAUUCCGGGGCUCAACUUCGGAAUUGCAUUUGAAACUGGUAGGCUAGAGUGCAGGAGAGGAAAGCGGAAUUCCUAGUGUAGCGGUGAAAUGCGUAGAUAUUAGGAAGAACACCAGUGGCGAAGGCGGCUUUCUGGACUGUAACUGACGCUGAGGCACGAAAGCGUGGGGAGCAAA
rnacentral:rRNA from 1 species